rnacentral:rRNA from 1 species
AUAAUGGGUCAGCGACUUAUAUUCUGUAGCAAGGUUAACCGAAUAGGGGAGCCGAAGGGAAACCGAGUCUUAACUGGGCGUUAAGUUGCAGGGUAUAGACCCGAAACCCGGUGAUCUAGCCAUGGGCAGGUUGAAGGUUGGGUAACACUAACUGGAGGACCGAACCGACUAAUGUUGAAAAAUUAGCGGAUGACUUGUGGCUGGGGGUGAAAGGCCAAUCAAACCGGGAGAUAGCUGGUUCUCCCCGAAAGCUAUUUAGGUAGCGCCUCGUGAAUUCAUCUCCGGGGGUAGAGCACUGUUUCGGCAAGGGGGUCAUCCCGACUUACCAACCCGAUGCAAACUGCGAAUACCGGAGAAUGUUAUCACGGGAGACACACGGCGGGUGCUAACGUCCGUCGUGAAGAGGGAAACAACCCAGACCGCCAGCUAAGGUCCCAAAGUCAUGGUUAAGUGGGAAACGAUGUGGGAAGGCCCAGACAGCCAGGAUGUUGGCUUAGAAGCAGCCAUCAUUUAAAGAAAGCGUAAUAGCUCACUGGUCGAGUCGGCCUGCGCGGAAGAUGUAACGGGGCUAAACCAUGCACCGAAGCUGCGGCAGCGACGCUGAUGCGUUGUUGGGUAGGGGAGCGUUCUGUAAGCCUGCGAAGGUGUGCUGUGAGGCAUGCUGGAGGUAUCAGAAGUGCGAAUGCUGACAUAAGUAACGAUAAAGCGGGUGAAAAGCCCGCUCGCCGGAAGACCAAGGGUUCCUGUCCAACGUUAAUCGGGGCAGGGUGAGUCGACCCCUAAGGCGAGGCCGAAAGGCGUAGUCGAUGGGAAACAGGUUAAUAUUCCUGUACUUGGUGUUACUGCGAAGGGGGGACGGAGAAGGCUAUGUUGGCCGGGCGACGGUUGUCCCGGUUUAAGCGUGUAGGCUGGUUUUCCAGGCAAAUCCGGAAAACUAAGGCUGAGGCGUGAUGACGAGGCACUACGGUGCUGAAGCAACAAAUGCCCUGCUUCCAGGAAAAGCCUCUAAGCAUCAGGUAACAUCAAAUCGUACCCCAAACCGACACAGGUGGUCAGGUAGAGAAUACCAAGGCGCUUGAGAGAACUCGGGUGAAGGAACUAGGCAAAAUGGUGCCGUAACUUCGGGAGAAGGCACGCUGAUAUGUAGGUGAAGUCCCUCGCGGAUGGAGCUGAAAUCAGUCGAAGAUACCAGCUGGCUGCAACUGUUUAUUAAAAACACAGCACUGUGCAAACACGAAAGUGGACGUAUACGGUGUGACGCCUGCCCGGUGC